GUCAUUAUAGCUUAGUCACUAGGACUGGAGACUCUUAAUCUCAAGGUUGUGGGUUUGAGUCCCAUGUUGGACA